rnacentral:rRNA from 1 species
GACGAACGCUGGCGGCGUGCUUAACACAUGCAAGUCGAACGGAAAGGCCCUGCUUUUGUGGGGUGCUCGAGUGGCGAACGGGUGAGUAACACGUGAGUAACCUGCCCUUGACUUUGUGAUAACUUCAGGAAACUGGGGCUAAUACCGGAUAGGAGCUCCUGCUGCAUGGUGGGGGUUGGAAAGUUUCGGCGGUUGGGGAUGGACUCGCGGCUUAUCAGCUUGUUGGUGGGGUAGUGGCUUACCAAGGCUUUGACGGGUAGCCGGCCUGAGAGGGUGACCGGCGACAUUGGGACUGAGAUACGGCCCAGACUCCUACGGGAGGCAGAAGUGGGGAAUAUUGCACAAUGGGCGGAAGCCUGAUGCAGCGACGCCGCGUGCGGGAUGACGGCCUUCGGGUUGUAAACCGCUUUCGCCUGUGACGAAGCGUGAGUGACGGUAAUGGGUAAAGAAGCACCGGCUAACUACGUG